rnacentral:lncRNA from 1 species
CUGUUGUCUCCUUUGUGCUCAGUGACGCGCCGCCUGAGGCUGGGGCCCCGCUGUGCUCCCGCCCCCGGGCCCUGCCCCCCUUCCUACGGGAGGGUCGCGUCUUUAGGUGGGGGCUUUGUAUCCUAAAGGCCUCAACAAAAAGGCCAUGCGGGUCACCUAAAACAUAGUCGUUCCCGUGAGCGGUGUAGUCAGCAUUCUGUGGUCUGGUUCUGGGAUUGAGAUUAACACAGGAUGUUUACUGCAUGCUUGCCUCUGUCUCAUACACUCUUUUUGCACCCGGAAUUAGAGGAGAGAUGGUAGAUGGCCCUAAAAACCCCGAAUACAACGUACAUGAAGAGCAGCUGAUAAAAUUCUGGGCCAGUUUGGAGUAGAGUGUGUACACAAUCAGCUGGGAGAACUGAGUCAUUCAUUCAUCAAAAUCGCAUGAAUGUGUCUACCAAGUGUGAUGUUAGACAACCUCUCCUGUUUCAUCUCCUGGCAACAGAAUGCAUCCUCCUUUUGGGAAACUGCCUCUUUCCCUACUCCUCAGAGAUCUGCCUCUAGGAGAUGAUGAGGCCAAACUGAAGACAGAAGCAAAGAGAAGAGAAAGGGAGAUGAAGAGGGCAUGUUCUGAUGUUACCACAGUAGCAAAGCAGGAUAUCCCCAGAGCAGCUGGCAUUUCAGCAACUCCUGGAUUCUGGGAUCUACAACUCGCAAACUCUGAACUUAUCCUCAGUUUUGCUUAAGCUAGUAAUAGUUGAUUUUCUGUCACUCACAGCUCAGAGUCCCAGUAUGAGAGGCCACGUAGGGGAGGUUUUAUUUGAACUUGACAUUGAAAAGUAGGUGGAUUUUAGGCUAGCAAAAAUUUAGAAGACUUUGAAGGCCAGAGGGUAGCAAAGUAUAGCCCACAGUCCAAAUCUACCCCACUGAAUUUGAAUGACUGUUUUUUAUAUGUUCAAAUAAUUACAUUUUAA